UUGCGCAGUAUAGGUGGGAGGCAAAGAAGAUAUGUUUGCGGAUGUAUAUGAGCCAUUAGUGAGAUACCACUCUGAUUAAACUAGAAUUCUAAUAUUGAUUGCCAUAAGCUGGCCAAUAGACAGUUUCAGGUGGGCAGUUUGACUGGGGCGGUCGCCUCCUAAAAGGUAACGGAGGCGUGCAAAGGUUUCCUCAGGCUGGUCGGAAAUCAGUCGUAGAGUAUAAAGGCAUAAGGAAGCUUGACUGCAAGACCUACAAGUCGAGCAGAGACGAAAGUCGGCCUUAGUGAUCCGACAGUGCUG
rnacentral:rRNA from 2 species